GGAGAGGUGACCGAGUGGCUGAAGGUACUUGAUUCGAAAUCAAGCAUAGGUGAAAGCCUAUCGGGGGUUCGAAUCCCCCCCUCUCCGCCA
rnacentral:tRNA from 1 species